GUUGUCGUCAGCUCGUGUCGUGAGAUGUUGGGUUAAGUCCCGCAACGAGCGCAACCCUUGAUUUUAGUUGCCAGCAUUUAGUUGGGCACUCUAAAGUGACUGCCGGUGCAAGCCGGAGGAAGGUGGGGAUGACGUCAAAUCAUCAUGCCCCUUAUGACCUGGGCUACACACGUGCUACAAUGGAUAGUACAAAGGGUCGCGAAGCCGCGAGGUGGAGCUAAUCCCAUAA
rnacentral:rRNA from 1 species